rnacentral:rRNA from 1 species
UGCCAGCAGCCGCGGUAAUACGGAGGGUGCAAGCGUUAUUCGGAAUUAUUGGGCGUAAAGGGCGCGUAGGCGGCCUUGUCGGGCAGAUGUGAAAGCCCGGGGCUCAACCCCGGACGUGCAUUUGAAACAGCAAGGCUUGAGUACGGGAGAGGAAAGCGGAAUUCCUGGUGUAGAGGUGAAAUUCGUAGAUAUCAGGAGGAACACCGAUGGCGAAGGCAGCUUUCUGGACCGAUACUGACGCUGAGGCGCGAAGGCGUGGGUAGCGAACGGGAUUAGAUA